UCCUGUCGGCCUCCAUUUUCCAUCAUUCAGUCGCGCCAGCCUGGGAGACUGUGCAAUGAACAUCGCAAGUCGCAAAAUCAACCCUGAAAGCGCCUCAUGCUCAUACACAGAUUAUUUGACCCAGGUAUUACCACAGGAAGAAACAUGCACUGUGUGAGGUGCCCAAACGUGAGACUGAGCAACGUCCUGAAGUACUACACCAAGGGAGCUAACCUGCUGGGCCUGCACUCCAAACAACUGCUCUGAUUCUUCCCGGAGUACGUGCAAGGGAACAAUGACAGCCCAUACACCAUUAAGCUGUCCCUGAGGCAGAACUACUGGCCGCACACCAGGUCCCUCAGCUCUCCCAAGAUGCACCAUGUCAAGUUCUCCAAGACCCUGGAGAUGAAACGUUACAUCAGACAGGCAGGUGUGGGGCUGAGCGAUGCCUGCGCACCCCGACGGCGUCCAACCGUUGGGAGGCACUGCACUUUGCUGCACUACACGUUGCUGCUGAGCCGCUACCGGGACGUCCUGCGUUUCCCCACCUUCCCCGAGACCUGUGGCACCUACAGCUGUACCUGGACCUCCACCCUCACCUGCACAGCACUAAAGCCAUAUGAGAAGUCACCAUGAGGCACUAGACUGCAUGCCAUGACACAUGCUGGAGUUCUGGGGGACUGGUGGAAGAGGAGGAGGAGUUAGAUCUUUGAGUGGCAUGUGGCAUGUGCCAGUGACAUGCGGAAGUGGUAUCAUUGACAUGCUAUUAUAAAACACAUUUUUCCACUAACAGGUUAGGUUUAGGAAUGAGUUUUGGUUUAGGCACAGUUCGGCAUGUUUAUAGGUUGGUGUACACACAUUUUUCACUGACAGGUUAGGUUUAGGAAUGAGUUUGGUUUAGGCACAGUUCGACAUCGACAUGCAGAAGUGGCAUCACUGGCAUGCAACUAUAAAACACAUUUUUCCACCGACAGGUUAGGUUUAGGAAUUAGUUUAGGUUUAGGCACAGUUCGGUUGGUUUACACACAUUUUUUCACUGACAGGUUAGGUUUAGGAAUAAGUUUAGGGUUAGGCACAGUUUGAUAUCGUAGUAGCCACUGUAACCAUAGUAACCAACGUGACAUGCCAACCGUGACGGCGCUUGACAUGCCCGUUAACUGUUGUAAUUACAGACCUAGAAUACAUAAAUAAUUUAAAAUAAUACUUUUCUAUUAAUAAAUAUUAUUACACUUAUUGAUAAUAAUUAGUAUAAGUCUGUGGUUAAUAUAAAAUCAAUGGACAUGUCACUGCGGCACUUCCGCAUGUCACUGACACAUGCCACAUGCCACUCAAAGAUCUAACCCCCUCUCUGAAGGAGGAGGAGGAGGAGGAGGAGGAGGAGGAGGAAGCGGGUAAUGGUACUGCGCCCACAUCCUCACCUGGUCCUGCACCUCACUAAAGAAGAGGAUGCUGGAGGUUUGGGAACUAGUGGAGGAGAUGGAGGAGGAAGAGGAGGAGGAGGAGGGUAAUGGUACUGUACCCCUACCACCACCACCACCCUCCCCUUGGACUGCACUAAGGCCACAUGACAAGGCCUCCUACACGAUGCAGAUAAUAGUGGAUGAGAGAGGUGCCACCCCCAAACCUUCGCCUGCACCAAGUAAUG